rnacentral:lncRNA from 1 species
GUGAGCCGGAGAAAUGUCACUCUCACUACACUACAUUCUGUCUUCUUUCCAUCCUUGUUCCAUUCACCCUCUGUAGGUGACCAGUCUCUUUCAUUUCUGGUUUAUCCUUACUGCAUUUCUUUUGCACAAAUGUGCAGAUACAUGUACACUUUCUCAUGUCCUCUUCUUUCUUCUAUGAAGAGCUGUUUACUGUAGACACUCUUGGGCUUUGCUUACUUCACUGAACACUAUGUCCUGGAAUUCACUCCAUAUUCAUUCAUACAGCUCUUCCUCAAUUCUUUUUUAUAACUGCACACUGCUUCAUCUUAUUGAUGUGCCAUGAUUUAUUCAACCACUAAAUACUGGACGUUUAGGUGUUUCCAAUAUUUUGCAAUGAGAAACAAUGCUGCAAUGAAUAACCUUGUGCAUAUGUGUUUUAUUAUCAUCAGAAGUGCGUUUUCGGAGUGGAUCCCUAGAAGUGGGAUUGCUGGGUCAAAAGAUUUGUAGGAGCAUUGUGACCUGACCAAGCACAAAAAAGUUCCCAACCUCAUUGGAUCCUUGCUCCCAGAUGUCUGCGGUAGUCCAUUAUCUCUUGAUCCUACCCACCUCCUCUUCCUCCUGCCCUGAAUGUAGAAAGAGCCUAAAAUUUGUA